CUUGGCACGGAUCUGGACAUCCGGGGCAGGGACUUCGAGGCGGUGCCGUUUGGAUCGGGGCGGCGGCAAUGCCCGGGAAUGGCACUGGCGCUCACCACUGUCCAUCUCACGCUCGCCAACCUCCUCCAUGGAUUCGAGUGGAGAGAGCCCAGCGGUGAGAGCAUCGACACGAGCAAGGAGCAGUAUGGAUUGACGCUGCUCUUGGCAAAGAAGCUCCGACUAAUCGCCACCCCACGGCUAGAACAAGGUACCUUAAAGCUCCGAUCCAAAGAAAGCUUGGAAGAAUAGCUUCCUUGAUAAACCAUGAAUAAGAAAGAAACCACGAACUUUCAGCACUAUCUCUCCAAAUGAACACUGCUGGCCUCAUCAGGAGCCUCUUUGCGAAUGAGAUUUUUGCAUGGCAUGGACAUUUUUAUAACAAAUAUAAAGAUAAUUUGUAAGUAUUAAAUAUUCUGAAGAAAUUGUUGAAGACUUGGAAAAGAAUAGACUAAGAGUAGAUUGUUGGAUCUAAUUUGAUUUCCAAGUGUGAUUGAAGCUCUUGUUAAUGUUCAGCUUAUCAGCAGCUUGACAACAUCUACGUUAUUGCUUGCAACGUGCAUAGCUAGCAGGGGGUUGGCAAAAUCUGCAUCCUUGUUCUUCCUUGCAGCCCGCAUAGAUUGGAGCAAGGGAUUGGACAGGUUUCACUCCGAUGACAAGAAGUCCAAAAGCUUAUUUUCAUCUUCGCUUAGAAGCGUUGUGGUGCUCUCCAACAACAGCUUCCAGCAGUGUCCACAUUCCUGAGCUCCACCCUGUGAAGCAGUAACGCACAAGCCCCAAUAAAUUUGAUCCGUGCACCACAUUCUUGCACCAAGCUUCCCCCGACCAUAUGCUUGAGAAACAUCUCCAAGAAGCAGACAAGGCAGUCUAGCGGUACCUGGCCCCGUGCACACGCAUCGUGCAGCUCCUUGAAUAUGCUAUCAGCAUCACUAGCCAAUUCAAAGGCAAUGUUCUUGAAGCCCCGCAGCGAGACAGUCAUAAACCAGGUGCCAAACUCUAAAACUGAUCUCCACUUGCUCUCAGAUACCAAGUUUCUCCAAUGCUGGCACAUCCUCAUCUCUGCUUGUGUUGUGGCUUGCAACUGGCCGUAGUCUGAAAUGCUGGUGUAGAGAUAACUGAGCUUCUUUUUACAUUCAGGUGUGCAUUGCCAUGCCUCCAACGCCGUCGUAAACUCUAUCAUCUCAGCUUGGGGGAAGAAAGCCUUGGGAGGGCGUAGCUCUGGGAGAGGCUUCAAUUCCAUAUCUUGCCUGUUCAGCCGCCGCUCCAGCACGCUUCCCUUCUGCAAUCUAUUUCCUACCAACUUUCUAGGAUAUCCCCUCCCAAUACGCCAACACAUCCAGCGACUGUUGGAUUUGGAUGGAAUCCCCCUUGUUCUUCUUCAGUUCCUCCAAAGCUUUCUCGGCCAUCAUCAGAUCUGUGGAGCAUGUUCUAUUUUCAUAGCUUCGAUCGUUAAAAGGUACUUUGUUCCAAACAUUCGUUCCUCGUCGGGGAGGCCGGCCAGAUCAAAGAGAUGGAGCAAAUCAUGGAGCUGGCCGUGCAAAUCGCCCACCAGGACGAUGCUACUGGAGCUCGACCGUGGCGGCUCCAGGCGCAAGCAAUUGGGCUCCUUGUGCAUGAUCUUGGAAGCCCUGGCGAUGAGCGAAUCGGCGACCGCGACUGGCACUACCUGGCGCAGUGCUUGCGUCCUCAGCAUGGAGGCCGCCUCCGCCAGGGUCUCGCCCACGCCGAUUACCCAUUCUCGCGUCAAUCCUCCAUCCUCUGGCCAUUCCACUACCUUGCUCACCACCUCCUCCUCUGCCGCCAUCGCCACUCCUUGCGCCUGAUCCGAGCUGGAUUCCGGGACUGGCGCCUUUGUUGCCCCUCUUCUUCGACGGUGCUCAUCAACGCCUAUGCCAUCGCCAGAGACUCUUCCGCCUGGGGUGACGAUGCGCUGCUCUUCCGGCCCGAGAGAUUCCUUGGCACGGAUCUGGACAUCCGGGGCAGGGACUUCGAGGCAGUGCCGUUUGGAUCGGCGACAAUGCCCGGGAAUGGCACUGGCACUCACCACUGUCCAUCUCACGCUCGCCAACCUCCUCCAUGGAUUCGAGUGGAGAGAGCCCAGCGGUGAGAGUAUCGACACGAGCAACGAGCAAUAUGGAUUGACGUUGCUCAUGGCAAACAAGCUGCGAUUGAUCUC
rnacentral:lncRNA from 1 species